AUUUGCAAACAAGUUAACAAUCUUUAGUAGGAUCGUCUCGAUUGCGAUAUAUUCGGUUGCAAGUACGUUGGACAAACCUUCAGAAUUUAUAGAUUACUGAUGUUGCAGAAAUAUAUUUUGUGUACUCAUUCAGAGAUGUCAACAGAAGUUUGCAUGCGGCAGAUGGCUUGGCAACUGACUUGGAACCAAAAACAUAUGAACCCUACUUAAACGAAUGGGAACUGCGCAAUUAUUUAAUAUAAUAUAUAAGUUGCAUAAUUAACAGGUCAAUCAAAUAUGUGUAUGUACUUUUAAUAGCAAAACUGAUAAUAAAUUCUUGGAAAAUGUAA